UUAUUAAAUUAGUACUAUUCUGAGUAAAAAUAACUAGCUAUUACUGUUUUAUAAAUUGACUAAGACAGUCUUAUAAAUGUCAGUGCUUUUUAUAAGGUGAAACAGAUUAUGUUGUGGGGCUUUUGUUUUGAUGGUGAUUUAUUAGAUUGUUUUGUUUAAAGACAAUAAUGUUCAGUUACUGUGAAAUUAUCAAAACAAUAUUCACAUUUUGUAAUUUUAAAGCAGUUAUAAGGUAAUUGCCUUAAGGAAAGAUACUUUUGUUUUGAUAUAUAAGUGUGAUAUUCAAGUUUAGUGUACAGCAGAGGACAUUAAACCUAAGUCAGCACUAAUGUGCACUUGAAACUUCAGUGCAAAUACCAAUGUGUAGCAAAUAGACUUUAACAUAUAAUGCUUGCCAAAAAAUGGAGCCGUUCUGUUGGGAGACCAUUGGUUAUGUUUGAUUUUAAUACUCCCCAUGCUUUUGACUUUUAUUUUUCUUUGUUACCUAGGCUGGAGUGCAGUGGCACAAUCAGCUCACUGCAACCUCCGCCUCUCAGAUUCAGGCCAUCCUCCCUAGGGACUAGAGACCUGAACUAGUUAUUUGCUACUUCCCUCCUGGAAUGGCUAGUAAAAUAAACACUAAAGCUUUGCAGUCCCCUAAAGACCAUGAAGCCCUGAGAGUAAUGUAAAGAUUCCUGAAAUUGAGAUCGCCAUGGAAAACAAG